rnacentral:rRNA from 1 species
UUGUGAGGUUAAGCGACUAAGCGUACACGGUGGAUGCCCUGGCAGUCAGAGGCGAUGAAGGACGUGCUAAUCUGCGAUAAGCGUCGGUGAGGUGAUAUGAACCGUUAUAACCGGCGAUUUCCGAAUGGGGAAACCCAGUGUGUUUCGACACACUAUCAUUAACUGAAUCCAUAGGUUAAUGAGGCGAACCGGGGGAACUGAAACAUCUAAGUACCCCGAGGAAAAGAAAUCAACCGAGAUUCCCCCAGUAGCGGCGAGCGAACGGGGAGGAGCCCAGAGCCUGAAUCAGUGUGUGUGUUAGUGGAAGCGUCUGGAAAGGCGCGCGAUACAGGGUGACAGCCCCGUACACAAAAAUGCACAUAUUGUGAGCUCGAUGAGUAGGGCGGGACACGUGGUAUCCUGUCUGAAUAUGGGGGGACCAUCCUCCAAGGCUAAAUACUCCUGACUGACCGAUAGUGAACCAGUACCGUGAGGGAAAGGCGAAAAGAACCCCGGCGAGGGGAGUGAAAAAGAACCUGAAACCGUGUACGUACAAGCAGUGGGAGCCUCUUUAUGGGGUGACUGCGUACCUUUUGUAUAAUGGGUCAGCGACUUAUAUUCUGUAGCAAGGUUAACCGAAUAGGGGAGCCGAAGGGAAACCGAGUCUUAACUGGGCGUUAAGUUGCAGGGUAUAGACCCGAAACCCGGUGAUCUAGCCAUGGGCAGGUUGAAGGUUGGGUAACACUAACUGGAGGACCGAACCGACUAAUGUUGAAAAAUUAGCGGAUGACUUGUGGCUGGGGGUGAAAGGCCAAUCAAACCGGGAGAUAGCUGGUUCUCCCCGAAAGCUAUUUAGGUAGCGCCUCGUGAAUUCAUCUCCGGGGGUAGAGCACUGUUUCGGCAAGGGGGUCAUCCCGACUUACCAACCCGAUGCAAACUGCGAAUACCGGAG